UAGGGAAUCUUCGGCAAUGGGGGCAACCCUGACCGAGCAACGCCGCGUGAGUGAAGAAGGUUUUCGGAUCGUAAAGCUCUGUUGUAAGAGAAGAACGUGUGUGAGAGUGGAAAGUUCACACAGUGACGGUAACUUACCAGAAAGGGACGGCUAACUACGUGCCAGCAGCCGCGGUAAUACGUAGGUCCCGAGCGUUGUCCGGAUUUAUUGGGCGUAAAGCGAGCGCAGGCGGUUUAAUAAGUCUGAAGUUAAAGGCAGUGGCUUAACAAUUGUUCGCUUUGGAAACUGUUAAACUUGAGUGCAGAAGGGGAGAGUGGAAUUCCAUGUGUAGCGGUGAAAUGCGUAGAUAUAUGGAGGAACAACGGUGGCGAAAGCGGCUCUCUGGUCUGUAACUGACGCUGAGGCUCGAAAGCGUGGGGAGCAAACAGG
rnacentral:rRNA from 1 species